rnacentral:rRNA from 1 species
AUUGAACGCUGGCGGAAUGCUUUACACAUGCAAGUCGAACGGCAGCACGGGAGCUUGCUCCUGGUGGCGAGUGGCGAACGGGUGAGUAACAUAUCGGAACGUACCCAGUCGUGGGGGAUAACUAUCCGAAAGGAUAGCUAAUACCGCAUACGUCCUGAGGGAGAAAGCGGGGGAUCGCAAGACCUCGCGCGAUUGUAGCGGCCGAUAUCGGAUUAGCUGUUUGGUGGGGUAAAGGCUAACCAAGGCGACGCUCCGUAGCGGGUCGGAGAGGACGACCCGCCACACUGGAACUGAGACCCGGUCCAGACUCCUACGGGAGGCAGAAGUGGGGAAUUUUGGGCAAUGGGGCAACCCUGAUCCAGCCAUGCCGCGUGAGUGAAGAAGGCCUUCGGGUUGUAAAGCUCUUUCAGCAGGAACGAAACGGUCGGCUUUAAUAAAGUCGGCUAAUGACGGUACCUGCAGAAGAAGCACCGGCUAACUACGUG